CUUUGGGAGCGUUAUAUCAAACGAAAGUAGUUAGCAAACGAGCGUAAGCGAGUAAGCGACAAAAUCGGACGCGAUGAACAAGGAA
rnacentral:sRNA from 12 species